GGAACGAACGCUGGCGGCAUGCCUAAUACAUGCAAGUCGAACGAACACUUCGGUGUUAGUGGCGCACGGGUGCGUAACGCGUGGGAAUCUGCCCUUGGGUUCGGAAUAACAGUUGGAAACGACUGCUAAUACCGGAUGAUAUCGAAAGAUCAAAGAUUUAUCGCCCAGGGAUGAGCCCGCGUAGGAUUAGCUAGUUGGUGAGGUAAAGGCUCACCAAGGCGACGAUCCUUAGCUGGUCUGAGAGGAUGAUCAGCCACACUGGGACUGAGACACGGCCCAGACUCCUACGGGAGGCAGCAGUAGGGAAUAUUGGACAAUGGGCGCAAGCCUGAUCCAGCAAUGCCGCGUGAGUGAUGAAGGCCUUAGGGUGUAAAGCUCUUUACCGAGAUGAUAAUGACAGUAUCGGAGAAUAAGCCCCGGACUAACUACCGUGCCAGCAAGCCGC
rnacentral:rRNA from 1 species